rnacentral:rRNA from 1 species
UACGGGGGGGGCAAGCGUUGUUCGGAAUUACUGGGCGUAAAGGGCGCGUAGGCGGCCUUCUAAGUCGGACGUGAAAUCCCUCGGCUUAACCGAGGAACUGCGUCCGAUACUGAAAGGCUUGAAUCCGGGAGAGGGAUGUGGAAUUCCAGGUGUAGCGGUGAAAUGCGUAGAUAUCUGGAGGAACACCGGUGGCGAAGGCGGCAUCCUGGACCGGUAUUGACGCUGAGGCGCGAAAGC